rnacentral:rRNA from 1 species
AGGAUAGAGGCCUACCAUGGUGGUAACGGGUAACGGGGUGUUAGGGCACGACACCGGAGAGGGAGCCUGAGAAACGGCUACCACAUCCAAGGAUGGCAGCAGGCGCGCAAAUUACCCAAUCCCGACACGGGGAGGUAGUGACAAUAAAUAACAAUACGGGGUUCUUUCGGAUCUCGUAAUUGGAAUGAGUACAAUUUAAAUCUCUUAACGAGGAACAAUUGGAGGGCAAGUCUGGUGCCAGCAGCCGCGGUAAUUCCAGCUCCAAUAGCGUAUAUUAAAGUUGUUGCAGUUAAAAAGCUCGUAGUUGAAUUUCGGGGUUAGUAGGUUGGUCAUGCCUCUGGUAUGUACUGAUCUCACUGAUUCCUCCUUCCUUAUGAACCGUAAUGCCAUUAAUUUGGUGUUGCGGGGAAUUUGGACUGUUACUUUGAAAAAAUUAGAGUGUUUAAAGCAGGCUAACGCUUGAAUACAUUAGCAUGGAAUAAUGAAAUAGGACGUUCGAUCUUAUUUUGUUGGUUUCUAGGAUUGACGUAAUGAUUAAUAGGGAUAGUUGGGGGCAUUAGUAUUCAAUUGUCAGAGGUGAAAUUCUUGGAUUUAUUGAAGACUAACUACUGCGAAAGCAUUUGCCAAGGAUGUUUUCAUUAAUCAAGAACGAAAGUUAGGGGAUCGAAGACGAUCAGAUACCGUCGUAGUCUUAACCAUAAACUAUGCCGACUAGGGAUCGGAUGAUGUUAAUUUUUUAAUGACUCAUUCGGCGCCUUACGGGA